GUCACUCCUUGGCCUUUUGGCGGAGAUGAUUAUAGUACCUGUUCUUAUCAGUUUAAUAUCUGAUACGUCCUCUAUUCCAAGGACAAUAUAUUAAAUGGGUUUUUGGAGCUUCGAGUUGGAGUAGCAGCUUGUUCUGUCCACUCUGUGCAUCAACCUGGUAUUGCAGUCCCUCUACGAAUGGUGCACUCUCC
ensembl:snRNA U2 U2 spliceosomal RNA